rnacentral:lncRNA from 1 species
CAAGUCUAAGAGAGCCGAGAGUUGCAUUGCUCGAAUUGAGUCCAAACAGUUUAAGUAGACACACACUAUUAGUAUCUCCAUUCCAUUAGGUAGUAGUACACGGAGAGCAAUAAAAAAAGUGUCUGAAGCAACCACAUGACAUGGAUAAUCAUUAUGCCAAGCAAUUGCAGUCCACCAGCAUAAGUACUAGUACAAUCAAUAAUAAAAUUAUUAUUACGAAAGAACCCCAAAGAGCGAAAAUGAUUAUCUUUUUGUGUAGAAAAAGUACAGGCCAGGUCCUGCAUCUCAGGGUCGGCCGCCAAGAUAGAAUCCUCAUCCAACAGCUCGCCAAAGUAGAAUGUGAUAAUGCCAGUUUCGGUAAGUACCUGGUCAGGGUAGGCAUGAAGGCGCUUCACAGAAGUUGAAGGAUCCUCAAAAUCUUAUGGUCAAGGUCUUUUAUGGUCCGAGAGCAUGAGGUGCUCCAAUUCUGUGGCAGGCAAACAUAGAGAACCAUUAAGGUUAGUUCGAGUAGAUAGAGAAGGAGAUACCAUCUUGCAAAAUUUUAGAAUCUAAAACACGAAAAGGCUGAUAAUUAAUGCAUGAAGAGUAUUAAAAAAUAAAUAGUUUACGAGUUGACACAGACAACUGAUCCGAGUCCGACCUAUCAUCAGAGAAAGUUGUCAAGAAGAAUUUAUAAAAAUAUGGGGAGGGGUGGCACCCGGAAAUGCCAGCAGUUCCAAAAAAAUAGAUAAGGACUUGAAAAAACGAGUAAGAUUGAUACAAGUAGCUAUAGAUGACCAACUUGUGGCAUAUCCGAAACAGGAAGAUCCGCUGGUGAGUCAAGCACCAUAUCCCUAGAGGAGGAUUCCAUACUAUUUCCCGCUGGACCGGAAGAGAGUUUGGAGAGAAAAGGCUGUUGAAAGAUGUAGGGGAGUGGUUUGUGACACACCUGCUUCGACCUGGAAGAAGAAGCCAGAGAGCCCGAAGCUUACGAAAGCUGAAGAUUCUUAACCAAAAAUCCUAGGUAACGAACUGACAUCCAUAGUCCACAAUCAGCCAGAUCCGUUGUUAUGAUAUCCCUAUAAGGACAACGACGAUUAACAUGACCUAGGAGACCACAAAUAUAACAGAUGGAGGCAACUUUUUCAUAGCGUAAGUGGACCUAGAAAGGUCAUUCAUCCGUAUCACCGCCUCAAUCCGACCGGGAAACUGGAGAGAAGACCCAUAAGAACAGUCACUUUAACAAAGUGAGGUCCCAAAUCACCUUCGUUGGUUGAAAAAACGGCAGAAAUGACAAUUGUACCCAACUAAUGAACCAGUUUGAAAACAACAGGGCAGGACUUCAAUAUGAAUCUUGAUAGGCAUGAACUGCAACAUGUCAAAUAGAUUCUUGCUCGGAGGUUCCCAAUGAAUCAGGUGGAUGAUAAAGUACUUGAAACUCCAUGGUUGGUCCGCCAAGACAGCAUCACGAGACUCCAUCAAAGGGAGAACAAAAUGAAGCAGGCCGUGACCUAGUUUAAUGAUUGACAGGUUCCGAGGAUUUAACUUCCAUUGGUGAGCUAGAUCCUGAGUAACAACAUGCAUAAGCUUCAGUAGGGCCAAAAGAUGUGGCCAACCAAACUGUAGCGACGACGGUCAGGCCCGUCUUUUACAUCCUCCCAAGAGAAAGCCACCGAGAUCUUCGUCAAUGAUACCUUCGGCGGUAUGCUUGCCAUCGUGAUCCCAAAAUGAUUACAGAUACCAAUGGCUAAGUACAAUCAUGAGAAUUGAGCGAAAAAGUGUGAAGUAGAAUAGAAGAAAAACAAUUGAGCAGAUGGCCCUAAUAUAUGAAAUGGGAUGAUGGCGGUUAACCUUACCAAAGAAAAGGAAUAAUGCCAACCAGGAAAACCCAGAGAAAACUACGAGUAGUUAAGAGCGAGAUGCCGAAAGAUCUAACUGUCGGCAAACAAUAGAUAAGGGGCGAAAGGGCCAAAAAAAUCGGUGUGUGUGAGAAAUAAGAGAUGGCCAAAUUAACUGGAAAAGACGAAGCCGAAGAAAGCGCGGAAGAGGCUGUGAUUACUUCACUCCUUGGGAUGCCAGAAACAGAACUAUAUGCAACAGAGGGUUGGAAGACGAGCAGAAAGUUAAGCAGGGAGGGGAAAACAUGAAGGAGAGACUAGAGAGAAUUGCCA